CUGCUGCUGGAUCAUUACCU
rnacentral:rRNA from 3 species